ACAGCUGAUCCAGUUAGUAUGGAAAUUGAUAAGGAGAUCUGUAUUAGUUACGGAAAUAAAGGAAAUGAGGAACUCUUAUACCUCUAUGGUUUUAUCAUUGACAUUAAUCCGAGUGAUUAUCUCAUGGUUCACUAUCCUUUAGAGCUCCUUCAGAAUUCACCCUUUUCUGAGAGAAAGGAAAAGCUCCUAGAAUUACAG